GAGUGGCGGACGGGUGAGUAACGCGUGAGAAUCUUGCCUUGGGGUCGGGGACAACCACUGGAAACGGUGGCUAAUACCGGAUAAGCCUUUGGGUAACACAUUUAUUGCCCCAAGAGGAGCUCGCGUCUGAUUAGCUCGUUGGUGAGGUAAAAGCUCACCGAUAUGGCAGCGAUCAGUAGCUGGUCUGAGAGGACGAUCAGCCACAUCUUGGGACUGAGACAUCGGCGCCCACUCCUACGGGAGGCAGUCCGUGGGGAAUUUCCCGCAAUGGGCGAGAGCCUGACUGAGCAAGCACCGCGUGAGGCGAGGAAGGCUCUUGGGUUGUAAACCUCUCUCCUCAUGGAAGAAGCUCUGACGGUACCUGAGGAAUCAGCCUCGGCUACCUCCGUGCCAUCAGCCGCGGUAAUACGGAGGACGCAAGCGUCAUCCGGAAUUCUCUGGGCGUAAAGCGUCCGCAGGUGGCGAUUCAAAGUCUGCUGUCAAAGCACGGGGCUUAACUCCGUUAACGGCAGUGGAAACUGACUAGCUAGAGUGCCGCAUGGGUACAGGGAAUUCCCGGUGUACCGGUGAAAUGCGUACAGAUCGGGAAGAACAUCGGUGGCUAAAGCGCUCUACUGGACGG
rnacentral:rRNA from 1 species